AGUGAACGCUGGCGGUAGGCCUAACACAUGCAAGUCGAACGGCAGCACAGUAAGAGCUUGCUCUUACGGGUGGCGAGUGGCGGACGGGUGAGGAAUACAUCGGAAUCUACUUUUUCGUGGGGGAUAACGUAGGGAAACUUACGCUAAUACCGCAUACGACCUACGGGUGAAAGCAGGGGAUCUUCGGACCUUGCGCGAUUGAAUGAGCCGAUGUCGGAUUAGCUAGUUGGCGGGGUAAAGGCCCACCAAGGCGACGAUCCGUAGCUGGUCUGAGAGGAUGAUCAGCCACACUGGAACUGAGACACAGUCCAGACUCCUACGGGAGGCAGCAGCGGGGAAUAUUGGACAAUGGGCGCAAGCCUGAUCCAGCCAUACCGCGUGGGUGAAGAAGGCCUUCGGGUUGUAAAGCCCUUUUGUUGGGAAAGAAAAGCAGCAGGUUAAUACCCCGCUGUUCUGACGGUACCCAAAGAAUAAGCACCGGCUAACUUCGUG
rnacentral:rRNA from 1 species